GACGAACGCUGGCGGCGUGCUUAACACAUGCAAGUCGAACGGAAAGGCCCUGCUUUUGUGGGGUGCUCGAGUGGCGAACGGGUGAGUAACACGUGAGUAACCUGCCCUUGACUUUGGGAUAACUUCAGGAAACUGGGGCUAAUACCGGAUAGGAGCUCCUGCUGCAUGGUGGGGGUUGGAAAGUUUCGGCGGUUGGGGAUGGACACGCGGCUUAUCAGCUUGUUGGUGGGGUAGUGGCUUACCAAGGCUUUGACGGGUAGCCGGCCUGAGAGGGUGACCGGCCACAUUGGGACUGAGAUACGGCCCAGACUCCUACGGGAGGCAGCAGUGGGGAAUAUUGCACAAUGGGCGGAAGCCUGAUGCAGCAACGCCGCGUGCGGGAUGACGGCCUUCGGGUUGUAAACCGCUUUCGCCUGUAACGAAGCGUGAGUGACGGUAAUGGGUAAAGAAGCACCGGCUAACUACGUG
rnacentral:rRNA from 1 species